GAUGAAGAACGUAGCGAAAUGCGAUAAGUAAUGUGAAUUGCAGAAUUCAGUGAAUCAUCGAAUCUUUGAACGCACAUUGCGCCCCCUGGUAUUCCGGGGGGCAUGCCUGUCCGAGCGUCAUUGCUGCCCUCAAGCACGGCUUGUGUGUUGGGCCUCCGUCCUCCUCCCGGGGGACGGGCCCGAAAGGCAGCGGCGGCACCGCGUCCGGUCCUCGAGCGUAUGGGGCUUCGUCACCCGCUCUUGUAGGCCCGGUCGGCGCUUGCCGACACAUCAAUCUUUUUUCCAGGUUGACCUCGGAUCAGGUAGGGAUACCCGCUGAACUUAAGCAUAUCAAUAAGCGGAGGA
rnacentral:misc_RNA from 1 species